GACGAACGCUGGCGGCGUGCUUAACACAUGCAAGUCGAACGGUGAUCUCGAGAGCUUGCUCUUGGGUGAUCAGUGGCGAACGGGUGAGUAACACGUGAGUAACCUGCCCCAGACUCUGGAAUAACCCCGGGAAACCGGAGCUAAUACCGGAUACGAUGCAUGGCUACUACUUGGAAAGUUUUUCGGUCUGGGAUGGACUCGCGGCCUAUCAGCUUGUUGGUGAGGUAAUGGCUCACCAAGGCGACGACGGGUAGCCGGCCUGAGAGGGCGACCGGCCACACUGGGACUGAGACACGGCCCAGACUCCUACGGGAGGCAGCAGUGUGGAAUACUGCACAAUGGGCGAAAGCCUGAUGCAGCGACGCCGCGUGAGGGAUGACGGCCUUCGGGUUGUAAACCUCUUUCAGCAGGGAAGAAGCGAAAGUGACGGUACCUGCAGAAGAAGCACCGGCUAACUACGUGCCAGCAGCCGCUGUAACAC
rnacentral:rRNA from 1 species